rnacentral:rRNA from 1 species
CUACGAGAAAAGAGUAGCAAUAUUCUGAGUAAAGUGGCGCAAGGGUGCGUAACUCGUAAGCAAUCUACCUUUAGAAGAGGAAUAACCCAGCGAAAGCCGGACUAAUACCCCAUAAUGCAGCGGCACCGCAUGGUGAUGUUGUUAAAGUCUAUAUGACGUCUAGAGAUGAGCUUGCGUCUGAUUAGCUAGUUGGUGAGGUAACGGCUCACCAAGGCUACGAUCAGUAGCUGGUCUGAGAGGAUGAUCAGCCACACUGGAACUGAGACACGGUCCAGACUCCUACUGGAGGCAGCAGUGAGGAAUAUUGGGCAAUGGACGCAAGUCUGACCCAGCAACGCCGCGUGAAGGAUGAAUGUCGUAAGAUUGUAAACUUCUGUGAGAAGGGACGAAAAAACAGGCUCAUACCCUGUUCUGACGGUACCUUCAGAGGAAGCCCCGGCUAACUACGUGCCAGCAGCCGCGGUAAUACGUAGGGGGCUAGCGUUGUCCGGAUUU